GCAAACUUGGUCAUUUAGAGGAAGUAAAAGUCGUAACAAGGUUUCCGUAGGUGAACCUGCGGAAGGAUCAUUAAAAAUUGUCUAAAUCGUAUGGACGAUUAAAUCCAUAUCCACCUUGUGUGCACAGUAAAAUGUUUUGCUUUGGUAGGACUUGAGCGUUGACUCUCCGGAAAAGCGGGGUUGUCGAACCUCAACUCGGGAUUGGCCUGGGUUCGCUUUUGAAUUAGCGAACAUUUUGGAAAACCCUGAGCAGUGCCUACCAGAGUUCAUUGUAUUUUCUAUGGCGUCCCAUAAACCACGCUUAUAAUUGCUGACUGAAAAUUGAUCUAAAUAUCAAAAAAAUUGAAUAAAAUACAACUUUCAACAACGGAUCUCUUGGCUCUCGCAUCGAUGAAGAACGCAGC
rnacentral:misc_RNA from 1 species